UGCACUAAUCAAGAUAAAAAGUACACUCGUAAAUAUAGCCGUCAAGGCACUAAUCCAAUUAUGUUCUCAGAACAGCAUACGAGCUCACUGUAAGAUUCGCCACGGACAGCGUAGAGCUGGUGACGGAGCAACCCAGACUUAGUGUGAUUGAAGUCUUCGGCUACAUUGGCGGCUAUCUAGGAAUAUGGCUUGGGUUUUCUUUACUUCAAGCCCUCGAGUACUACCACAAUUUAAUCAGGCGGAAAUGUGCAAACUGUCCCUGGCUUUCACGCAACGUACAACGGAAGAGUGCAGACACACGGAAACGUUCCAACGUAGAAGGCAGAAUUACGGGCAUUUUUUCGGUUUCCAGAACAGAGCUAAAAUGACUUUUUUGUUAGCGAUCUUAAACUGCUCUCGUCCACAAAACGAAUAUAAGUAAUUUAUGUUUCUUAGGGUUGCAUCUACGUUUGGAAACUGGUAGCACGGAACCGUCAUGCCUUUCAUCGCCACACCUACGACUUUGUGGCGGACCAUCCGCUUCGUAUACGGGAGGCUGUGAGUAAGAAUUCCGGUGCCAUCCAAUUCUUUGUCCCUGGUUUUCUAAAGAGAAGAAAUUCCCCUGGUACGGUAUUCAGCAACUUGUGAAAAUACGCGCCUCGAAAGAGGCCUCAAUAUGUUAUCUCGUAGUGGGGUCUAAUGGCACCCUUUUUCUGCCUCAGGUUUACAGCAUCGCAGUAGAGCAUGCGCCGCGGUUGGGUUGCGUGAAAAAGACCGGGACCACCAAUAAAACCGUCCACUACAAAAUAAAAGCGCGCUGCCGUCUAGGUGCUCGGCGAUUACGGAACAUCAGUGCUUCGAAAAGGCAGCAUCCCGAUUACCUGAGGGCGUACCUUCCUGUCAGGUUUUUGGUAUUCUGCAUGAAAGUUUGACACAAUAAACAC